rnacentral:rRNA from 1 species
CCUACGGGUGGCUUCAGUGGGGAAUAUUGGACAAUGGGCGAAAGCCUGAUCCAGCCAUGCCGCGUGUGUGAAGAAGGCCUUCGGGUUGUAAAGCACUUUCAGUGGGGAAGAAAGCCUUGGGGCUAAUACCCUCGAGGAAGGACAUCACCCACAGAAGAAGCACCGGCUAACUCCGUGCCAGCAGCCGCGGUAAUACGGAGGGUGCGAGCGUUAAUCGGAAUUACUGGGCGUAAAGCGCGCGUAGGCGGUCUGAUAAGCCGGUUGUGAAAGCCCCGGGCUCAACCUGGGAACGGCAUCCGGAACUGUCAGGCUAGAGUGCAGGAGAGGAAGGUAGAAUUCCCGGUGUAGCGGUGAAAUGCGUAGAGAUCGGGAGGAAUACCAGUGGCGAAGGCGGCCUUCUGGACUGACACUGACGCUGAGGUGCGAAAGCGUGGGUAGCAAACAGGAUUAGAUCCCCGGGUAGUC